GUUUUUAUAGUUGAAUAACAACGAUGAUUUUUCAUGUCAUUGGUCAUGGUUAGNUUC
rnacentral:tRNA from 1 species